rnacentral:rRNA from 1 species
AUACGUACCGGACGAACGUUAUUCGGAAUCACUGGGCUUAAAGAGUACGUAGGCUGCCUUGUAGGUGAGAUGUGAAAUCCCACGGCUCAACCGUGGAACUGCGUUUCAAACCACAAGGCUUGAGGGAGACAGGGGUGAGCGGAACUGAUGGUGGAGCGGUGAAAUGCGUUGAUAUCAUCAGGAACACCGGUGGCGAAGGCGACUCACUGGGUCUCUUCUGACGCUGCGGUACGAAAGCUAGGGUAGCGAACGGGAUUAGAAACCCCAGUAGUCC